rnacentral:tRNA from 1 species
GGAAGGGUACAGCUCAGUGGUGGAGUUCUUGCCUAGCAUGCAUGCGCUCCUGGGUUCAAUCCCCAGCACCUCCA